CAUAUAGUAAUACGUCAUGAACAUGAUGUUGAUUCGGAUAAAAUGCUAUAUAGAAGCGUUACACAUGCAAAUUCUUUAAAUAAAAGAGUGAUAAGGUGAGUAUAAUAGAUAUAUAAAUAUAUCUUAAUAGAUGAAGGUAUUAGUUAAAGAACUAGCCGUUGACCUAUAAUCGGUGAUGGAAGUCACAACGAUCACAUUGGUAUAAAGCCAACUACUAUUAGUAGCAGCAGUGGGGAAUUAUUGACAAUGACCUAACGGUUGAUCAUGCUAUCUAUAAGAAAUUUAAUAAAAAUAUAAAUAAAAAUAUUUAUAUAAACUAUUAUAAAAUUUCAUAUUUAUAUUAAAGACUGAUUGAUAUAAAGAUAUAGUCCUGACUAAGAGAUGUGCCAGCCGUCGCGGUUAGACAUCAAGGGCAAGCAUUAAUCUACAUUGGCCUAAAGGAUCCGUAGGUUUAAAAUAUAGAUUUUAUUAAAUGUAUAAUGAAAUAUAACUUUAGGGAUAAAAUACUAUGAUAGUUAUAAGACAGCAUAGAAUAUACAUAAAAUAAAAUGACACUGAGGGAUGAAAGCUAUAGUAGUGACAUGGAUUCGGUACCCAUUUAAUUAUAGCUGUGAACUAUGUAUACUAUAAAUUAGACAAGCGAAGGCUUUAAGUAUACCGCCAGACUAGUACGUUCGCAAGAAUGAAAUGCAAGACAUUAGACGGUUAUAUAUAUAUGCAGUGGAGUAUACUGUUUAAUUGGACAAUACCCCUAAAACCUUACCUACUCUUGAAUAUAUUUUAUCUUUGGAUAUUUUAUACAGGCGUUACAUUGUUGUCGUCAGUUCAUGCUUUGUGGUAUCUUAUUAAGUUAUUUAAUGAACAAAACCCUCGAUCUUAUGAUGAUGUAUAUCUGAUAAGAUAUAGGAAGUAGAGGCUAAAGACUAAUCAUCAUGACCCUUAUGAGUAGGGCUACAGGUGUACUACUAUCUCUUAUAUAAUUAUAUAUAUAUCAUAUUAUAUUCCUAUUUUUUAUAGGUUUUAUUUUUUUUAUUUAAUAUAUAAUAUAAAAUAUAAGAUAUUAUGAUAAUUUUCUUUUAAUUGGAUUAUUGUCUGUAACUCGACAAUAUAAAAAAGGAAUUGCUAGUAAUCAUAGACAAGAGUGCUAUGGUGAACUAUACAUAUAUUUCGCACUAAUCACUCAUCAAUAGCAUAGAUAAUGUCUUAAUACACUUUCGUGUAUUAAUGAGCAUAUGAUAUGCUAUAAGUUGAAAUACAGUUCGAGUAAGGGAACUUGCUCGGGAUUUAUAUUAAUAUUAUCUAUUCUUUUAUUAUUUAUUUAUUUAU
rnacentral:rRNA from 1 species